rnacentral:lncRNA from 1 species
CUUAUUCCAGUUCUGUAACACCGCCAUGAGUUGAUCCAAAUUCGAAUCUACCUCAAGAUCACUCCUCGAAUGUGUGUUAAGAAUGUACCUAAAUUCUAAAUGAAGUAGCCAACUUGCAAAAAAUCUGAACGGUCGUUGACCACCACAUUAUUUUCUGAUCUAAAAGCCACUAAGAUCGGUCGUAAGAUUUUAAUCUCUGUAGAUGUCGAACUGAAU